UAAGCCUGUAAAAAUUCGCUAAUUUGCCAUUUUUUUUCUAUUGCAAUUCCUUAAAAUCAUUAUUAAUCGGAAACGUUCUUUGUUGCAGCUUUACCUCUAGGAAUGUUUCAAGAUCCAGUUUUCAACAAUGAUAAACCAAACUACUUGAACUUUGGAGCUCUCGGUUCGUUGAUGGGUCGUGAAUUAAUAUAUGCAUUCAUUGAUAAAGCAAAUUAACAUGAAAAAGAUACAAGAUGAUGUUGUAGCUGUCAGUGGAGGUUUGAGAGCAGCUUAUUG